rnacentral:rRNA from 1 species
AUCCUCCGUAGUGACCUGCGGAGGGAUCAUUACACAAUAUGAAAGCGGGUUGGGACCUCACCUCGGUGAGGGCUCCAGCUUGUCUGAAUUAUUCACCCAUGUCUUUUGCGCACUUCUUGUUUCCUGGGCGGGUUUCGCCCGCCACCAGGACCAAACCAUAAACCUUUUUGUAAUUGCAAUCAGCGUCAGUAAACAAUGUAAUUAUUACAACUUUCAACAACGGAUCUCUUGGUUCUGGCAUCGAUGAAGAACGCAGCGAAAUGCGAUAAGUAAUGUGAAUUGCAGAGCUCCAGUGAACCAUCGAAUCUUUGAACGCACAUUGCGCCCCUUGGUAUUCCGGGGGGCAUGCCUGUCCGAGCGUCAUUGCACCCCUCAAGCGUAGCUUGGUCUUGGGCCCUCGCCUUUGUCCCCUCGGGGAAGGGCGCGCCCGAAAAGCAGUGGCGAUCCGGCGUGGCUCCAGGCGUAGUAGACUUACCUCCCGCCUGUGGGUCCCGCGCCGCGGCCUGCCAGCCAACCCCCUUCCUUUCUCGGUGGAGAUGCUCUUCACCUCAAUGAUGGACCUCGGAUCAGGUAGGGAUACCCGCUGAACUUAAGCAUUAAGAGAGGGGGAGGGGA